rnacentral:rRNA from 1 species
GACGUAGGGGGCGAGCGUUGUCCGGAUUUAUUGGGCGUAAAGCGCACGUAGGCGGCCGAUUAAGUCGGGUGUGAAAGCCCUGGGCUCAACCCAGGAAGUGCACACGAAACUGAUCGGCUUGAAUAUGGAAGAGGGUUGCGGAAUUCCCGGUGUAGAGGUGAAAUUCGUAGAUAUCGGGAGGAACACCAGUGGCGAAGGCGGCAACCUGGGCCAAUAUUGACGCUGAGGUGCGAAAGCGUGGGGAGCAAACAGG